rnacentral:rRNA from 1 species
UACGUAGGGUGCGAGCGUUAAUCGGAAUUACUGGGCGUAAAGCGUGCGCAGGCGGCUUCGCAAGUCAGACGUGAAAGCCCCGGGCUUAACCUGGGAAUGGCGGUUGAAACUAGUCGACUUGAAUCUGGCAGAGGGGGGUGGAAUUCCACGUGUAGCAGUGAAAUGCGUAGAGAUGUGGAGGAACACCGAUGGCGAAGGCAGCCCCCUGGGCUGAGAUUGACGCUCAGGCACGAAAGCGUGGGGAGCAAACAGG